AGACAGCUCCUGGGCCAAGACUCAGGGAGACAUUGAGACAGCGGUUGGCACAAGAGGAGCGGUGUCAGGGCGAAGUCCCAGGGCCCCAGGUGUGGCUCUCAGGGUCUCAGGCCCCGAAGGCGGUGUAUGGAUUAGGGAGUCCCAGCGUUGGGGAUUCCCCAUCUCCGCAGUUUCUCUUCUUCUGACAACCUGCGUCGUGUCCUUCUUCCGGAAUACUCACGACGGGGACCCAGUUCUCACUCCCAUUGGGUGUCGGGUUUCUAGAGAUGCCAAUCAGCGUCGCCACAGUCCCGGUUCUAAAGUCCCCACUCACCCACCAGGACUCAGAUUCUCCGCAGACGCCGAGGAUGGCGGUCAUGGCGCCCCGAACCCUCCUCCUGGUGCUCUCAGGGGCCCUGGCCCUGACCCAGACCCGGGCGGGCUCUCACUCCAUGAGGUAUUUCUACACCGCCGUGUCCCGGCCCGGCCGCGCGGAGCCCUACUUCUUCGCCGUGGGCUACGUGGACGACACGCAGUUCGUGCGGUUCGACAGCGACGCCGAGAGUCCGAGGAUGGAGCCGCGGGCGCCAUGGGUGGAGCAGGAGGGUCCAGAGUAUUGGGACCAGGAGACACAGAACAUGAAGACCGCGACACAGACCUACCGAGGGAACCUGCGGACCCUGCUCCGCUACUACAACCAGAGCCAGGGCGGGUCUCACACCAUCCAGGAGAUGUACGGCUGCGACCUGGGGCCCGACGGGCGCCUCCUCCGCGGGUAUGAACAGUUCGCCUACGACGGCAGGGAUUACAUCGCCCUGAACGAGGACCUGCGCUCCUGGACGGCCGCGGACAUGGCGGCUCAGAACACCCAGCGGAAGUGGGAGGCGGCCCGUGCGGCGGAGCAGCACAGAACCUACCUGGAGGGGACGUGCGUGGAGUGGCUCCGCAGAUACCUGGAGAACGGGAAGGAGACGCUGCAGCGCGCGGACCCCCCCAAGACAUAUGUGACCCACCACCCCGUCUCUGACCAUGAGGCCACCCUGAGGUGCUGGGCCCUGGGCUACUACCCUGCGGGGAUCACACUGACCUGGCAGCGGGAUGGAGAGGAACAAACUGAGGACACAGAGCUCGUGGAGACCAGGCCUACAGGGGAUGGAACCUUCCAGAAGUGGGCGGCUGUGGUGGUGCCUUCUGGAGAGGAGCAGAGAUACACCUGUCAUGUGCAGCAUGAGGGUCUGCCCAAGCCCCUCACCUUGAGAUGGGAGCCGUUUUUCCAGUCCACCAUCCCCAUCGUAGGCAUCAUUGCUGGCCUGGUUCUGCUUGGAACUGUGGUCACUGGAGCUGUGGUUGCUGCUGUGAUGUGCAGGAGGAAGAGCUCAGAUAGAUAAGGCGGGAGCGACUCUCAGGCUGCAAGCAGUGACAGUGCCCAAGGUUCUGAUGUGUCUCUCACGGCUUGUAAAGUGUGAGACAGCUGCCUUGUGUGGGAUUGAGAGGCAAGAUUUGUUCACGCCUUCUCUUUGUGACUUGAAGAACCCUGACUUUCUUUCUGCAAAGGCACCUGAAUGUGUCUGCGUUCCUGCAGGCAUAAUGUGAGGAGGUGGGGAGACCACCUCACCCCCGUGUCCACUAUGACCCUCUUCCCCACGCUGACCUGUGUUCCCUCUCCAUUUAUCUUUCCUGUUCCAGGGAGGUUGAGCUGGGAUGUCUCUAUCUCUGUCUCAACUUCAUGGUGCACUGAGCUGUAACUUCUUCCUUCCCUAUUAAAAUUAGAACCUGAGUAUAAAUUUACUUUUUCGAAUUCUUGCCAUGAGAGGUUGAUGAGUUAAUUAAAGGAGGAGAUUCCUGAAAUUUGAGAGACAAAAUAAAUGGAAGACAUGAGAACCUUUCAGA